rnacentral:ncRNA from 1 species
CGCAUAAAAUGCGGAUAUGGUGCUGACUUUGUGUAAGUCCGACGUAUCCUGUAUUCACGGAUACUGCCAGAUAUGGCUUUGGGAUUAC